rnacentral:rRNA from 1 species
GGAGGAUGCGAGCGUUAUCCGGAUUUAUUGGGUUUAAAGGGAGCGCAGGCUGCGAGGCAAGUCAGCGGUCAAAUGUCGGGGCUCAACCCCGGCCUGCCGUUGAAACUGUCCUGCUAGAGUUCGAGUGAGGUAUGCGGAAUGCGUUGUGUAGCGGUGAAAUGCAUAGAUAUGACGCAGAACUCCGAUUGCGAAGGCAGCAUACCAACUCGCGACUGACGCUGAGGCUCGAAAGUGUGGGGAGCAAACAGGAUUAGAUACCCUGGUAGUCCACGCGGUAAACGAUGAAUGCUAGGUGUCGGGUGACAAAGUCAUUCGGUGCCGCCGCAAACGCAUUAAGCAUUCCACCUGGGGAGU